UGGGGAAUUUUGGACAAUGGGCGCAAGCCUGAUCCAGCCAUUCCGCGUGCAGGACGAAGGCCUUCGGGUUGUAAACUGCUUUUGUACGGAACGAAAAGCCCUUCUCUAAUACAGAGGGGUCAUGACGGUACCGUAAGAAUAAGCACCGGCUAACUACGUGCCAGCAGCCGCGGUAAUACGUAGGGUGCAAGCGUUAAUCGGAAUUACUGGGCGUAAAGCGUGCGCAGGCGGUUUUGUAAGACAGAGGUGAAAUCCCCGGGCUCAACCUGGGAACUGCCUUUGUGACUGCAAGGCUGGAGUGCGGCAGAGGGGGAUGGAAUUCCGCGUGUAGCAGUGAAAUGCGUAGAUAUGCGGAGGAACACCGAUGGCGAAGGCAAUCCCCUGGGCCUGCACUGACGCUCAUGCACGAAAGCGUGGGGAGCAAACA
rnacentral:rRNA from 1 species